GAUGAAGAACGCAGCGAAAUGCGAUAAGUAAUGUGAAUUGCAGAAUUCAGUGAAUCAUCGAAUCUUUGAAUGCACCUUGCACCCUUUGGCAUUCCGAAGGGUAUGCUCGUUUGAGUGUCAUUGUACUCUCACUCUCCCGAUGCUUUUGGAUCGGGAGUGGUGGACUUGGGUGUUGCUGCUUUGCUGUGGCUCGCCUCAAAUGGAGUAGUGCAACUCUUGGUUGGACAUAGUACGGCGUGAUAAGUGUCUUCGCCGGCGCCUCAUUAUAGAGGGUGGCCGAUCGGGAGCUCUGUGCUUCAAACCGUCUUCGGACAACAUCUGACAACUUGACCUCAAAUCGAGUAGGACUACCCGCUGAACUUAAGCAUAUCAAUAAGCGGAGGA
rnacentral:misc_RNA from 1 species